rnacentral:rRNA from 1 species
GGUUAAGCGACUAAGCGUACACGGUGGAUGCCCUGGCAGUCAGAGGCGAUGAAGGRCGUGCUAAUCUGCGAUAAGCGCCGGUAAGGUGAUAUGAACCGUUAUAACCGGCGAUUUCCGAAUGGGGAAACCCAGUGUGAUUCGUCACACUAUCAUUAACUGAAUCCAUAGGUUAAUGAGGCGAACCGGGGGAACUGAAACAUCUAAGUACCCCGAGGAAAAGAAAUCAACCGAGAUUCCCCCAGUAGCGGCGAGCGAACGGGGAGGAGCCCAGAGCCUGAAUCAGCAUGUGUGUUAGUGGAAGCGUCUGGAAAGGCGCGCGAUACAGGGUGACAGCCCCGUACACAAAAGCGCAUGUGCUGUGAG